rnacentral:rRNA from 1 species
UGGGGAAUAUUGCACAAUGGGGGAAACCCUGAUGCAGCGACGCCGCGUGAGCGAAGAAGGUUUUCGAAUCGUAAAGCUCUGUCCUAUGGGAAGAUAAUGACGGUACCAUAGGAGGAAGCCCCGGCUAACUACGUGCCAGCAGCCGCGGUAAUACGUAGGGGGCAAGCGUUGUCCGGAAUUACUGGGCGUAAAGGGUUCGCAGGCGGAAAUGCAAGUCAGUUGUGAAAGGCAGAGGCUCAACCUCUGUAAGCAAUUGAAACUGUAUUUCUUGAGAUGUGGAGAGGCAAGUGGAAUUCCUAGUGUAGCGGUGAAAUGCGUAGAUAUUAGGAAGAAUACCGGUGGCGAAGGCGCCUAGCUGGACACAAACUGACGCUGAGGAACAAAAGCGUGGGUAGCAAACAGG